AUUGAACGCUGGCGGCGUGCCUAACACAUGCAAGUCGAGGGGUAACUAGAGUGAUAGCAAUAUUACUUUGGCUAGACCGGCGCACGGGUGCGUAACACGUAUGCAACCUACCUUAUACUGGGGAAUAACUUCGAGAAAUCGGCGCUAAUACCCCAUAACACUGCGGAGAGGCAUCUCUUUGCAGUUAAAGCUCCGGCGGUAUAAGAUGGGCAUGCGUCCAAUUAGCUAGUUGGUGAGGUAACGGCUCACCAAGGCUACGAUUGGUAGGGGUUCUGAGAGGAUGAUCCCCACACUGGUGCUGAGACACGGACCAGACUCCUACGGGAGGCAGCAGUGAGGAAUAUUGCGCAAUGGACGAAAGUCUGACGCAGCCAUGCCGCGUGCAGGAUGACGGCCCUAUGGGUUGUAAACUGCUUUUGUACGGGAAUAAACCCUUCUACGUGUAGGAGGCUGAAGGUACCGUAAGAAUAAGCACCGGCUAACUCCGUGCCAGCCGCCGCGGUAA
rnacentral:rRNA from 1 species